ensembl:snoRNA
GCACUGAAAACUCACUCUUUCUGCUGUGCAGUGCAGAGAAAGGAAACAAAGUGCUAGAGAAACGCAGAGGAAAUCCAGACGGAGCAUGUUUUUAACUUUAUGUUCUGUCCCUACACCUCAGCCACAUGC